rnacentral:rRNA from 1 species
UCAGACGAUGCGUCAUGCAUAUCAAUAAGCGGAGGAAAAGAAACUAACAAGGAUUCCCUUAGUAACGGCGAGUGAAGCGGGAAGAGCUCAAAUUUGAAAUCUUCAAGGUUUUACCUUGACGAAUUGUAGUUUAAAGAAGUGUUUUCUGCUGAAGUUUUGGUAAAAGUUCUUUGGAAUAGGACAUCAUAGAGGGUGAGAAUCCCGUAUUUGACCAUUAUUUUCAGCUUUGUGAUACACUUUCAAAGAGUCGGAUUGUUUGGGAAUGCAGUCCAAAAUGGGUGGUAAAUUUCAUCUAAAGCUAAAUAUUGGCGAGAGACCGAUAGCGAACAAGUACCGUGAGGGAAAGAUGAAAAGAACUUUGAAAAGAGAGUUAAACAGUACGUGAAAUUGUCAAAAGGGAAGCGUUUGACACCAGUGUUGUUUUCUCGAAAAUCAAUUAAAAAUGGCUCGAUUUUGUAUUGCUUGAGACCUUAAAAGCUCACUGUACAUUUUUCGUGUCUUUUUUAAUGCACUUUUCGUUUAACAAGUCAACAUCAGUUUCUUUUGUUGUAAAAGGGUCAUUGGAAGGUGGCUUUCUUUUCGGAGAAAGUGUUUAUAGCCUUUGGCCUCUGCAAUCGGAGAGACUGAGGUCUGCAGCGUAGACUCUUCGGGGUUAGAUACAUUUGUGCUAAGUUAUAGCUUUUUAUAGACAACUUGUUGACUAUAAUUAGUCUUGUAGCUUACUCGCUUAUGCUAUUUUACCUACGCUUAGGAUGUUGAACUACUGAGACAUAGA